AGGGUUUGAUUAUGGCUCAGGACGAACGCUGGCGGCGCGCCUAACACAUGCAAGUCGAACGGAGUAAGAUGAGCUUGCUUAUCUUACUUAGUGGCGGACGGGUGAGUAACACGUGAGCAACCUGCCUUCGAGUGGGGAAUAACAGUCGGAAACGACUGCUAAUACCGCAUAACACAUUGAGGUGGCAUCACCUUGGUGUCAAAGAUUUAUCGCUCGAAGAUGGGCUCGCGUCCGAUUAGCUAGUUGGCGGGGUAACGGCCCACCAAGGCGACGAUCGGUAGCCGGACUGAGAGGUUGAUCGGCCACAUUGGGACUGAGACACGGCCCAG
rnacentral:rRNA from 1 species